rnacentral:rRNA from 1 species
CCCAUGGAAACGUGGGCUAAUACCCCAUACGGUCACGCGGUUUAGAAGCGCGUGAAGAAAACUCCGGUGCUGAAGGAGGGGGCUGUGGCCCAUCAGCUAGUUGGUAGGGUAACGGCCUACCAAGGCGAGGACGGGUAGGGGGCCUGAGAGGGUGACCCCCCACACGGGUACUGAGACACGGACCCGACUCCUACGGGAGGCAGCAGUAAGGGAUAUUGCGCAAUGGACGAAAGUCUGACGCAGCAACGCCGCGUGCGGGAUGACGGCCUUCGGGUUGUAAACCGCUUUUCUGCGCGAAGAGGAAGGACGGUAGCGCAGGAAUAAGUCUCGGCUAACUACGUGCCAGCAGCCGCGGUAAAACGUAGGAGGCGAGCGUUAUCCGGAUUUACUGGGUGUAAAGCGCGUGCAGGCGGUCGUGUAAGUUGUGCGUGAAAGCGCUCUGGCUCAACCGGGCGAGGACGUGCAAAACUGCAGGGCUUGAGGUAGGUAGAGGCGUGUGGAAUUCCGGGUGUAGUGGUGAAAUGCGUAGAGAUCCGGAGGAACACCAGUGGCGAAGGCGACACGCUGGGCCUGACCUGACGCUAAGACGCGAAAGCAUGGGUAGCGAACGGGAUUAGAAACCCCGGUAGUCCAUGCCGUAAACGAUGUGUACUAAGUGUUGCGGUGGAGACAUUGCAGUGCUGAAGCCAACGUGAUAAGUACACCACCUGGGGAGUACGGUCGCAAGAUUAAAACUCAAAGGAAUUGACGGGGACCCGCACAAGCAGCGGAGCGUGUGGUUUAAUUCGAGGCUACACGAA